AUAAAAAGGCCCUGGAAGACAAGUGUAAUGCAUUGAGGUCUGUGAAAGCAACAAAGGAAGCAAAAGUCAAACAGCUGAAGGAGAAAGCACAUAACCUGGAAGAAUUCUAUGAACAAAGAAAAGUGCCUACAGAAAAGAUAGGUGAAGGUGGAGGCAGGGGUUGCAAUCCUGAACUCUAGCGAUGUCUGGGAGUGAGCUGCAAUGUUGGUGAAGCCAUAUCCUGGAAGGUCGUCUUUCAGGGAAGCUGAAAAUGACACUGUGAACUGGCGGCAAAGAAGAAUCAGCUGGCAGCUGCAGGUAAAAUUUGAAAAUAGCUACAGAAGGGGAGCCUGGGGGGCUCAGUCAUUUAAGUGUCCAACUUCAGCUCAGGUCAUAAUUUCACAGUCCGUGAGUUUGAGCUCCAUGUCAGGCUCUGUGCUGACAGCUCAGAGCCUGGAGCCUGCUUCGGAUUCUGUUACCUCUCUCUCUGUGCCUCCCCUGCUCAUGUGCUCGCG